AUAGUUAAAAUAACAACCGGCGAAUGCUCUCUUAUCACAACUUUCGUUAUUCCAAAUGAGAAUUUCAAUGAAUUAAAGUCUGGCAAAGUUAAAAGCAUAAUUCUAAACGAUACAACAGCAAAAUAAGGUGACAUAUAAGAAUCAAAACUAUUUCUCUCUGUUUGCAUUUAUCGUCGAAUAAAAGCAACAGACAAAAAUGGCAGAUAUCAACAACAAUAUUGAAUUGGAGUACAGUGAAGGCCACAUCGGAUACAUGUACGUACGAUUUACGCAGAAAACCAAAGUAGUAAACAACGUUACACUGAGGAAAUGCUAUGUACGAUCGUCAAUUGAAGAUCCAUGGACUGAUCGAUGGAUCAGGCAAGAUGUGAUCGACCAGUGGACGGCAGCUACAAAUCAAGUAGCGGACUACGAUAUGUGAUAAGCCAGCUAAUCGAAUAGAGACGUUGAAAAAUGCUACGAAUUGAAUACAAAUUCGAGGCAAACUUCGACGCACGCUAAACGAUCAAACAAAUUAACCCUAAUUAAAAAUAAGUUUCUUACAUAGUUAAAUGUAAUCGAUCUUUAUCCAUCUUUUGAUUAUUUGCUUUCAUGUUCUUGUGUAUAA